rnacentral:misc_RNA from 1 species
GAUGAAGAACGUAGCGAAAUGCGAUAAGUAAUGUGAAUUGCAGAAUUCAGUGAAUCAUCGAAUCUUUGAACGCAUCUUGCGCUCCUUGGUAUUCUGAGGAGCAUGCCUGUUUGAGUGCCAUUAAAUUCUCAACCGCACUGACUUUGAAUUGGUGUGGCUUGGAUUUGGGGGGAAAAUUGUUGUGGGCUUUUUUGUAUAGUCUGCUCACCUGAAAUUGAUUAGCGGUACCUUUGUGGAACUGUCUACAGGUGUGAUAAUUAUCUACAUCCUAGACAUCUGCUGGAAUGCUGCUUUCUAAACCUUACUUGUAUUGACAAUCUUGACCUCAAAUCAGGUAGGACUACCCGCUGAACUUAAGCAUAUCAAUAAGCGGAGGA